GGACAAUAUGAGUACCAUGCCUUGAUGUUUGCUGGAAGCAGUGCUCUUUCAAAACAUUAUAAGUUCACUGAGCAACGUGUCUGUAGAAUCAGUGAGGCAAAUAAAACAAUAUUCCACUUAAGGCCCUACACUGCUAUGUAGCAAUGACAUUUGCACGGUGAAAUCCCACAAGUGAGGUUUGGGGAGGGUAGAAUGUAUGUAGACCUUACCACUACCUCAUGGAGGUAGAGAGGCUGUUUCCAAAAGAGCCUUGGCUCGAGUGCAACAAUCCCGGUAUAAAGAAGAAGACAAUGAAGAGAUUUUUGAAACAAGAAACAGUGCAAAAGUAGUCAAAACAACAAUUAAAUCAUGUGAUAAUUGAAAUGCCA
rnacentral:misc_RNA from 1 species